rnacentral:tRNA from 1 species
CGGGACGUGGCUCAGCCUGGUAGAGCACAUCGUUCGGGACGAUGGGGUCGCAGGUUCGAAUCCUGCCGUCCCGACCA